rnacentral:rRNA from 1 species
GGGUGCUCGAGUGGCGAACGGGUGAGUAACACGUGAGUAACCUGCCCUUGACUUUGGGAUAACUUCAGGGAACUGGGGCUAAUACCGGAUAGGAGCUCCUGCUGCAUGGUGGGGGUUGGAAAGUUUCGGCGGUUGGGGAUGGACUCGCGGCUUAUCAGCUUGUUGGUGGGGUAGUGGCUUACCAAGGCUUUGACGGGUAGCCGGCCUGAGAGGGUGACCGGCCACAUUGGGACUGAGAUACGGCCCAG